rnacentral:rRNA from 1 species
GAUGAACGCUGGCGGCGUGCUUAACACAUGCAAGUCGAACGGAGUAUCGACGCUGAACGAUUGACUAGCUUGCUAAGAUUGAGUUCUUGUUGAUACUUAGUGGCGGACGGGUGAGUAACGCGUGGGUAACCUGCCGUAUGCAGGGGGACAACAGUUGGAAACGACUGCUAAUACCGCAUAUGCACACAGUAAGGCAUCUUACAGGGUGGAAAGAAUUUCGGCAUACGAUGGACCCGCGUCUGAUUAGCUGGUUGGUGAGGUAACGGCCCACCAAGGUAACGACGGGUAGCCGGCCUGAGAGGGUGUCCGGCCACACUGGGACUGAGAUACGGCCCAGACUCC